CGUACAGCGCAUGCAGGUGGUUCGUUAAGUCAGAUGUGAAAGCCCGGGGCUCAACCUCGGAACUGCAUUUGAAACUGGCGGACUAGAGUACUGUAGAGGGGGGUAGAAUUUCAGGUGUAGCGGUGAAAUGCGUAGAGAUCUGAAGGAAUACCGGUGGCGAAGGCGGCCCCCUGGACAGAUACUGACACUCAGAUGCGAAAGCGUGGGGAGCAAACAGGAUUAGAUACCCUGGUAGUCCACGCCGUAAACGAUGUCUACUUGGAGGUUGUGGCCUUGAGCCGUGGCUUUCGGAGCUAACGCGUUAAGUAGACCGCCUGGGGAGUACGGUCGCAAGAUUAAAACUCAAAUGAAUUGACGGGGGCCCGCACAAGCGGUGGAGCAUGUGGUUUAAUUCGAUGCAACGCGAAGAACCUUACCUACUCUUGACAUCCAGAGAAGCCAGCGGAGACGCAGGUGUGCCUUCGGGAGCUCUGAGACAGGUGCUGCAUGGCUGUCGUCAGCU
rnacentral:rRNA from 1 species